UACGGAGGGGGCUAGCGUUGUUCGGAAUUACUGGGCGUAAAGCGCACGUAGGCGGACUGUUAAGUCGGGGGUGAAAUCCUGGGGCUCAACCUCGAGCUGUCGGUGGAAACUGUCUGGCUAGAGUCCGGAAGAGGAGAGUGGAAUUCCUGGUGUAGCGGUGAAAUGCGCAGAUAUCAGGAAGAACACCUAUGGCGAAGGCAGCUCUCUGGGACGGUACUGACGCUGAGACGCGAAAGCGUGGGGAGCGAACAGG
rnacentral:rRNA from 1 species